UGCGUAGGUGGCGAGGUAAGUCGGAUGUGAAAUCUCGGAGCUCAACUCCGAAAUGGCAUUGGAAACUACCCUGCUCGAGGGUUGGAGGGGGGACUGGAAUGCUCGGUGUAGCAGUGAAAUGCGUAGAUAUCAAGCGGAACACCAGUGGCGAAGGCGAGUCCCUGGACAACUCCUGACACUGAGGCACGAAAGCUAGGGGAGCAAACA
rnacentral:rRNA from 1 species